CCAGGCUGGUUCAAAGUACAUUACUCUCACAGAAAGAAGAACUAGACCAGACUUGCUCUGUUUGAAGCUGCGGUACAUUCUACAUUUUAUUCCUGGGAAUUCUUCACGAAAAGAUCAAGGCCAUGUCUGUGGAGAUUUUCACGCUAUGGAUUUGGAAGGGGAUCUGCUCACAGCUGCUGAAAUCCAUUACACAAGCCGUAUAUACUGUACUGUAUAUAAUCCUCCCUUUACCCCCCAGCUAUUCCCGGCACGCAAUAACGUGGCAUGUUCACUCUAAGGGGUUCCGCAACACAGUUGAAGUUUAUUUUAAAAAUUGUCCCCUCUCAAUCAUGCGAAACUUGAUCAGCUGACCGUUGCGCAAUGAAAAUGACUGCGGUAAUAAUCUUGACAGGUGACAUUCCUCGCAUAAUAGAACAUAAAAACCAUACAGCACAACACAGGCACUUCCGUCCGCAAAGCUGUGCCGAACCUUACCUCAGAACUACCUAGGCUUACCCAUAGCCCUCUAUUUUUCUAAGCUCCAGGUAUCUAUCCAAAAGUCUCUUAAAAGACCCUGUCGUAUCCGCCUCCACCACUGUCGCCGGCAGCCCAUUCCAUGCACUUUGAGUAAAAAACUUACCCUUAUACCUACUCCCCAGCACCUUAAAACUAUGCCCUCUCAUGCUAGCCAUUUCAGCGGUGGGGAAAGGCCUCUGACUGAAAGCCAGAGUACAAGGUCAUCGAAGUCAAACAGCGGAUUGGAACCGAGUUUUCUUUUCGAUACGCGGUUUAGUUUCUACUGUGAGUUAAAAUCGCCGCUGUAACUGCAAAACCACUCUCUGUAACGCUGUUAGCAGCUGGGGAGGAGAGCCUGGAGUUCUCAGAACCUUGGCGAUGGAGACGGAGGUGUCACUGCUCUGGGUGUUGAGCCAGUCGACUGUCACUCUCAUCAACUGGAAAAAGCAGAUAUCAUUUCUGUGACAAAGGUUGAGAGACCUCUGGAAAGGAAACGUCUCCAUUCUCCUCUGCCCUCUUUCAUUAACAAGGUGGUUUUGCCCACAGAACCAUCACUCACUUGAUCUCCCCCCCCCCCCCCACCAUUCUCUGUAAACUCCAGAGACUGCUGUGCAUGAAAAUCUCAGGAGAUCAGCAGUUGUUGAGAUACCCAAACUACCCCAUCUGGCACCAACAAUCCUUCCAGGGUCAAAGUCACAUUUUUCCCCAAUCUAAUGUCUGGUCUGAACGGCAGCUGAACCUCUUGACCAGGUCUGCGUGCUUUUAUACAUUGAGUUGCUGCCUCACGAUUGGCUGAUUAGAUAUUUGUAUUAAUGAGCAGGUGUACAGGUGCAGCUUGUAAAUUGUUGGUGCCAGAUGGGGUGGUUUGAGUAUCUCAGAAACUGGGAUCUUCGUGCACAACAGUCUGUAGAGUUUACAGAGAGUGGGGCAAAAAAACCAAAAGGACAUCCAGUGAGAGGCAGUUCUGUGGGUGAAAACGCCUUGUUAACGAGCGAGGUCAGAGGAGAAUGGCCAGACUGGUUCAAGCUGAUAGGAGGGUGUCAGUAACUCAAACAACCACGUGUCACAACAGUGGUGUGCCGAAGAACAUCUCAGAACACACAACAUAUCAAACCUUGAAGUGGACGGGCUACAGCAGCAGAAGAUCAUGAACAUACACUCAGUGGUACAGGAGGUAUCUAAUGAAGUGGCCACUGUGUGUAUAUGGAAUACUUUGACAAUAAGUUUUACUUUAACUUUGUCAAUGCUUUACCGUGCAUAAUAUUUCCAAGGCUCAUUGCCUGGUUCUGAGGUGUGUGCUGCACUGAUGAACUACAACUUUGAACAGGGAGCAGUCUGGUCACACUUUCGAUGAUCAUUUCCAGAAUUGCAACCUCCGGCUCAGUGGUAAAACAGGCUCUGCGAUUUUCCACCUGAUUGAAAAUAGAAAGUAAAAACAUUAACUGCAAAACAUUAAGGCCUCCAACCCCAAGAACCCUCUGUCCCUCCACACUGCUGAGAAUCCUGCUAUGAACCCCACGUUCUGCCUUCAAAUCCGACCUUCCAACUUGCUUUGCUUCACAUUUUUCACACUUUCCUUUUUGUUGAUCUUAACAAAAGACUAAGCUGUGACUGCUUUUUUAUUUAGAUAUCUGUGAAAUUCCUCCUCGCUCGACCCGUUGGCCCAGCAUACCCUGCCGUAGCCUCCCGCCACUUCACAGAUCCUCAGUUUCUCUCCAGCACCCAUUGUUCGAGCAUUGUUCGCCGAGAAAGUAAACGCCUGAGAUCUUUUGAAAAGUGGCUUGUCGCUUGCCGAAGUGGGCCGUAAGGUCGGAAAGAACAAAUCGAGCACAGUAAAGCAGAAAGAAGCUGAAGUUGAUGGAAGUGAUAGUGCUGCCCCUACAACAGCAAAAAUGGUCUCUCUGGUUCGUGAUAAAGUGCUUGCAAAAACUGAGAAAGCAUUAAGUGUGCGGGUGGAGGACAUGCCACAGAAGCGUAUCCCUGCCGAUGGCAAAGUUAUGCGUGAAAAAGCACUACUGUGAGAGGGUUGAGGUGAACAACUUGCAGCACCGUAUGUUCACGGCAACAUCCUUGAAAGGUUCUCAAACUUCUAAACCUCAAAGUAUGUAUAAAUCCCUUCUAAAUGAAAUGUGUGUCCUUGAUAAAGAUAACUGGCCCGCUGAAAUACCGCCUAAUUAUGGAGAAGCUGCAACGUCAUCUCUCUGUAAGAGAUUUAAGCUUUCUUCCUCCUCUGUAAUAAAUGCCUUCAGAGAUUAUGUGGAGGAUCGUGGACGCCGCACCCCCCAAGAUUUACGCCCAUUACUGAGCUGUGCACAAGUUAGUACUGCUGAGUAUGAGAGAGGAUUCAGUCACAUGAACUUGAUAAUAACAACAACACUCUCAAGAAUGCUGAUAAAUCAUGUAUCAGCACUUACGUUUGUUAAACUACAUGGACCUCCUCUAGUUCAGUGGAAUCCUGAGCCAAAUGUCACAUCAUGGCUGCGGUACCACAGAUGAUAACAGAUAACACCAGGACAAGAGUUGUUUCAGACCCCCCGAACACAUAUUAUGCCUGACCCUUUGUGGAAAUGAUAGUGAAACUUCUCAUUGGUGGUAUUUGACCCCGGUAAAAAGGCGAUUGGAGGCACUGCUCCCCCCUCUGUCUCCAGGAUGUCGUAUGGGGAUCUCUUGCUGCUGACUGCUUUCUUCCAGCGAAUAAAAGCCUAUAUCUCGCCUCACGUCUCCGAGAGUUAUUGAUGGUGCAUCAGGCUGAUAAUUACAUUCUGAUAAUUUUGCCAAAUCUUUUGGCAUAAUGAUGCCCAAAUACUUGAACGACUCUGUGUGCCAUGCCCAGGGAUAUCUACUUCCUAUUUCUCUUGGUGGGCUAUAGUAAUAUGAAAGUAAUUGGGUUUUAUCUAUGUUGAUCUUGUAUCCUGAUAAUUGACCAUAUUGUUCAAAGGAUUGCAUCAAUUUAAGUAAAGAGUAUGUUGGUUGCCCUAGAUAGAUCAAAAUGUCAUCCAUGUAACAAGCCAAUUUAUGCUCUGUCCCUUUAAUAGUAAUUCCCCUGAUAUCUUCAUUUUGUCUGAUGUAUUGAGCUAAUGGUUCCAGAUAUAACGCGAAGAGUAGUGGUGACCAUGCACAACCUUGUCUCGUGCCCCUUUCUAGAGUAAGACUAUUUGAUAAAUAUCCAUUGAUUUUAAUCCUAGCAAUAGGAUUGUCAUAUAGUGUCUGUAUAGUUUUAAUAAUUGUGUCAUGUAAACCAAAUCUAUGUAAAACUCUGUAAAGAACAUUCCAAUUAACCGAAUCAAAUGCCUUUUCAGCAUCUACACUUAUCACUAUUGCUUCGAUUUUAUUUUUUUGUAUAUGAUCCAUAAUGUGAAGUGUCCUUCGUAUAUUGUCUUGUGUUUGGCGUUGUCGUAUAAAACCUGUCUGAUCGUUAUGUAUCAGUGUGGGUAGAAACUCUUCUGAUCAUUUGGCCAUGAUGGAGGUAAAUAAUCUAUAAUCUACAUUAAGAAUGGAUAUUGGUCUAAAUGACCCACAUUCCAAUUUAUCCUUGCCUUCUUUUGGUAUAGCUGAGAUUAUCGCUUCCUUCCAACUGGGUGGCAUUUGUGCCUUUUUUAGAGCCCAGUUCAGUGUGGGGAGUAGAACAGGAAUUAAAUUAUUUUAUACCACUCUGCCGUAUAUCCAUCUGAUCCUGGUGACUUGCUUAAUUUAAGCCGACUAAUUGCAGCUUUUAAUUCAACUUCAGUUUUGUCAGCAGUCAUUGUUCUAUUUUGUUCUUCGCUUACAGUGGGUAACUCUAGAGAAUUCAGGAAGGUGUCAAUUUGGGUUAUGCUUCCCCCUGGAACUUUGGAACAUAGAGUUUUGUAAAACACUUCAAAAGCUUCUUGAAUUUCACUAAGCUUCUUUUUUAUCAUUUUUGUUCUUGGGUCCCUAAUUCUAUGAAUUGUAUUUUCUGCCUUUUUCCCCCUUUUUUUUGUGUUUCCAAGCCAUUAUUUUCAGAGAUUUCAAUCCACUUUCAUAAUGUCUCUGUUUCAGAAUCAUUAAAAUUUUCCUGAUUUUUUGCGUAGCCAAACAAUUAAUUUCAUUCCUAAUUCUUUUAAUUUCCCCUAAUAUAUCCUGUGCCAAUUCAAUUUGUGUUUUUUCUCUAAUUCCUUCAGCCUAUUUUGUAAUUCCUCUAAUGGUUUAUUGCUUUUUUUUCUUAUAUGAAGAUAUCGCUAUAAUUUUCCCUCUUAAGACAGCCUUCAGAGUAUCCCACAAAAUGGGAGGUGAAUCCUCUCCAUUAUCAUUAAAUUCUAAGUACAGACCAAUUUCUUUUUUAAUUUGUUCUUUAAAGUACGGAUAAUUGAGUAGACUUGAAUUUAGUUUCCAAAUAGUAUUCUUUGGUUGUAGGUCAAAAUCAACAGAUAAAUAUAUAAGUGCAUGGUCACUUACAUCUAUUGUCCCAAUUCCACAGGUAUUUAUUUUGUCUUUGUCUUUUCCAACUGUUAUGAAAUAGUCUAUUCUUGUACAUACAGAAUGGGGAGCAGAAUAAUGGGUGUAAUCCCUUCUGUUGGGGAAAAGGUCCCUCCAUAUAUCAAUUAAACCAACAUCCUCAAAAAGUGUAUUAACUUUCUUAUGUAAGGAUUUUGUUUCAUAGGUUUUUCUAUUGGAAGAGUCUAAGUUUGGUUCUAAUUGUAAAUUUAAGUCUCCCCUACAUAUCAGGAGACCUUCUGUUUCCACUACCAUAAUAUCAGUAAUUUUCUGAAAGAAACUAAUAUCACUUCCCGGGGGUGCAUAUAUAUUCAACAGAGUAACUGAAUUUCCAUCUAUAUUCCUCCUUACCAGAAUAUAUCUGCCCUCUUGAUCUCACAUUUUGAAUACUUUUUCAAAAUUUAGCUUAACUUGAGAUAAGAAUAGCAAUCUCCUAUGUCCUGAUUUAUAUGAGGAGAAAAACAAAUUAGUGAAGCCCAUUCUCUUUAGUUUUCUAUGCUCAUUAUCACUUAAAUGAGUUUCCUGUAAAUAUACUACAUAUGUUUUGGUUUUGUCCUAAAAUUGAGAAGUUUUGGUGGGAAGUAUUCCAUACUUUCUCACAACUUUUUAGGGUCCAAUUUGACCCAAAUCCCCUUACCGCCUUGUUUGGUAUUAUUGCAAAUGAAGAUAUAAUUUUAAAUAUUCCUAACCUACAGGUUUUGGUUUUUACCUCUCCUGUAGCAAGGAGAGCAAUCCUACUUAAAUGGAAGGAGUCUACCCCUCUUCAAUGGCUACGUGAUAUUAUGUCUUAUUUAAAAUUAGAGAAGAUCCGCUGCUCAGUCUUAAAUUUGAAACAAUCCUUUUAUGAUAUCUGGGGAUCUUUCCUAAAUUACUUUUCCAAUUUAUAAAGCUUAACAGUGCACAGACUUUUAUGUAUAUUUCUAUCUUCUCUUCUUAAGCGAAUAUGUAUUUUUUUCUAAUUAUCUAUUAUUAUCCAACAGCUUUUUUCUUUGGUAGUUGGUAGGGAGUUGACUUUUUUUUAUAUAAAAAAUUUCUUUUAUGAUGUAUGACCUAUCUUUAGAUUUUUGAUUAUGGAGUGAUAUACCUUUAUGUGUAAUGCUAUAACAUUUUGAUCAAUUUUAUUACAAUAUAUGAAUGUACACACUUUAUGUUGAGAUGUAUCUAUGUGUUGCACUCUGUAAAUCUUGUCUUUUCUUCUGAAUAAAAAUACUGUAAAAGA